rnacentral:rRNA from 1 species
UACGGAGGGUGCGAGCGUUGUCCGGAAUCAUUGGGCGUAAAGCGUGCGCAGGCGGUUUUGUAAGACCGAUGUGAAAUCCCCGGGCUUAACCUGGGAACUGCAUUGGUGACUGCAAGGCUUGAGUGUGUCAGAGGGAGGUGGAAUUCCGCGUGUAGCAGUGAAAUGCGUAGAUAUGCGGAGGAACACCGAUGGCGAAGGCAGCCUCCUGGGAUAACACUGACGCUCAUGCACGAAAGCGUGGGGAGCAAACAGG